AUGACGGUACCCGCAGAAUAAGCCCCGGCUAACUUCGUGCCAGCAGCCGCGGUAAUACGAAGGGGGCCAGCGUUGUUCGGAAUCACUGGGCGUAAAGCGUACGCAGGCGGAUUGAUAAGUCAGGGGUGAAAUCCCGGGGCUCAACCUCGGAAUUGCCUUUGAUACUGUCUGUCUCGAGUUCGGGAGAGGUUGGCGGAAUUCCUAGUGUAGGGUGAAAUUCGUAGAUAUUAGGAAGAACACCAGUGGCGAAGGCCGCCAACUGGCCCGAUACUGACGCUCUGUACGAAAGCGUGGGGAGCAAACAGGAUUAGAUACCCUGGUAGUCCACGCUGUAAACUAUGGAUGCUAGCCGUUGGGGAGCUUGCUCUUCAGUGGCGCAGCUAACGUCUUAAGCAUCCCGCCUGGGAGUACGGUCGCAAGAUUAAAACUCA
rnacentral:rRNA from 1 species